AUUUCUUUAAGAAAGUAAGAUCCCUGAGAGAUGAUCAGGUAGAUAGGUCAGGAGUGGAAGUACAGUGAUGUAUGGAGCGGACUGAUACUAAUCGAUCGAGGACUUAACCACA
rnacentral:rRNA from 1 species